rnacentral:rRNA from 1 species
AUGUCUAGCCAAGCCCCUCGUCGUCGUCGUCCUCCUCCUCCUCCUCUCCCACCCAACCUGCCCCCUCACAUCCCCUACUCCCGCGCGCUGCAGCAGCGCCUCUACCUCCUCGCGCAGCACGCCCGCCGCCGCCCGGGCGCCACCGCCUCCCUCCGCGCGCUCGACCAGCUCCACGCGCAGCUCCUCCUCAACGGCUUCCACCGCAAGCGCUUCCUCCUCGCCAAGCUCAUCUCCCUCGCCGCCGCCGCCGCCGACCUCCCCUGCGCUGAGGCCCUCUUCCUCUCCUCCUCCUCCUCCCCGCAGCACCCUCCCGAGCCCCCCACCCUCGCCAACCUCCUCCUCCGCGCCGCCGCGGCGUCCCGCGCGGGGCCUCCCCAGCUCCUCUCCCUCUUCUCCCGCCUCGUCGGCCGCCACGGGUUCCGCCCCAACGCCUUCUCCUUCUCCACGCUCUUCGCCGCGCUCUCCGGCGCAGGCGCGGCCGCGGCCCCCCACGGAGCCGCCCUCCACGCGACCGCGCUCGCCGGCGGGUUCGCUCUGUCCAGCUCGCACGUCAUGACCAGCCUCCUUGACAUGUACGCCGCGGCCGGGCAGCUCGCGGAUGCCAGGAAGGUGUUCGACGAAAUGCCCGGCAGGACGGCGGCGGCGGCGGCGUGGAACUGCAUGCUCUCUGCUUACGUGCGGUGCCGUGAGGUGGACGCGGCUCUGCGUUUCUUCGGUGAGAUGCCUGGGAGGGACGCGGUGGCCUGGACGACGGUGAUAGCUGGGUGUGCCAGUGCUGGGAGGGCGGCGGAGGCGGUUGAUCUGUUCUGGAGCAUGAGGAAGGCAAGGGUCAAGGACGACUCGGUGACGAUGGUCGCCUUGUUGACGGCGUGCGCGGAGUUGGGGGACCUGCGUCUCGGGCGAUGGAUACAUGCGCGAGUGGACCAGGAAGGCCAUUUGCAGCGGACGGUGUCGCUAGACAAUGCCCUCAUCCAUAUGUAUGUGAAGUGUGGGGCUGUGGAGGAUGCGCACCGCAUGUUUCUCGAGAUGCCGAGGCGGAGUACCAUCUCAUGGACUACAAUGAUUUCCGGGCUUGCGGUCCAUGGUCGUGCCGAGGAGGCUCUAGAAUUGUUUAACCGGAUGGAGGAACGUCCUGAUGGCACAACGCUGCUCGCUGUGCUGUCUGCGUGCAGCCAUUCACGGCAGGUUGACGACGGACGGCAAUACUUUGAGAGCAUGGAAAGAGUUUAUGGGAUCGCCCCAGAGAUCCAGCACUAUGGAUGCAUGGUCGACAUGCUCUGCCGCAGCAGACGAUUGCACGAAGCACUUGAGCUCGCAGAGACAAUGCCGUUGCAGUCUAAUGAGGCCGUGUGGGGUGCACUAUUGAGUGGAUGCAAGAGGGAAGAUAAUCUUGAGCUUGCAGCCAAAGUAAUUGAUAGAUUGACUGAGCUACAGCCUGAUCGAGCAGCUGGGCACCUUGUCCUCCUGUCAAACAUGUAUGCGGGUGUUGGUCGGUGGGAGCAGGCUCGGAUUGUGAGGGAAAGAGUGGCUGCACUGCAUGCCGGGAAGCCUGCUGGAGGGAGCUGGGUGAAUCAAAACGAGACCAGCAUGUUGAUAGCA